UACGGAGGGUGCGAGCGUUGUCCGGAAUCAUUGGGCGUAAAGGGCGCGUAGGCGGCCCGGUCAGUUCGUGGUGAAAGCGCGGGGCUCAACCCUGCGUCGGCCAUGAAUACUGCCGCGGCUGGAGCACUGUAGAGGCAGGCGGAAUUCCGGGUGUAGCGGUGGAAUGCGUAGAGAUCCGGAAGAACACCGGUGGCGAAGGCGGCCUGCUGGGCAGUUGCUGACGCUGAGGAGCGAAAGCGUGGGGAGCGAACAGG
rnacentral:rRNA from 1 species